GAUGAACGCUGGCGGCGUGCCUAAUACAUGCAAGUCGAGCGAACAGACGAGGAGCUUGCUCCUCUGACGUUAGCGGCGGACGGGUGAGUAACACGUGGAUAACCUACCUAUAAGACUGGGAUAACUUCGGGAAACCGGAGCUAAUACCGGAUAAUAUAUUGAACCGCAUGGUUCAAUAGUGAAAGACGGUUUUGCUGUCACUUAUAGAUGGAUCCGCGCCGCCUUAGCUAGUUGGUAAGGUAACGGCUUACCAAGGCGACGAUGCGUAGCCGACCUGAGAGGGUGAUCGGCCACACUGGAACUGAGACACGGUCCAGACUCCUACGGGAGGCAGCAGUAGGGAAUCUUCCGCAAAGGGCGAAAGCCUGACGGAGCAACGCCGCGUGAGUGAUGAAGGUCUUCGGAUCGUAAAACUCUGUUAUUAGGGAAGAACAAAUGUGUAAGUAACUAUGCACGUCUUGACGGUACCUAAUCAGAAAGCCACGGCUAACUACGUG
rnacentral:rRNA from 1 species